UCCGGUUGAUCCUGCCAGAGGCCGCUGCUAUCCGGCUGGGACUAAGCCAUGCUAGUCUAGGGGCUUGUACCCCUUCGGGGGUGCAAGCACCGGCGGACGGCUCAGUAACACGUGGACAACCUGCCCUCGGGUGGGGGAUAACCCCGGGAAACUGGGGCUAAUCCCCCAUAGGUGAUGGGUGCUGGAAUGCCCCAUCUCCGAAAGCGCUCAGCGCCCGAGGAUGGGUCUGCGGCGGAUUAGGUAGUUGGUGGGGUAACGGCCCACCAAGCCUAAGAUCCGUACGGGCUGUGGGAGCAGGAGCCCGGAGAUGGACCCUGAGACAAGGGUCCAGGCCCUACGGGGCGCAGCAGGCGCGAAACCUCCGCAAUGCGGGAAACCGCGACGGGGUUAGCCGGAGUGCCCGUGCAUUGCACGGGCUGUCGGGGUGCCUAAACAGCACCCCAUAGCAAGGGCCGGGCAAGGCCGGUGGCAGCCGCCGCGGUAAGACCGGCGGCCCGAGUGGCGGCCACUCUUAUUGGGCCUAAAGCGUCCGUAGCCGGCCCAGUAAGUCCCCCGGGAAAUCUGGUCGCUUAACGAUCAGACUUCCGGGGGAUACUGCUGGGCUAGGGA
rnacentral:rRNA from 1 species